AACGUAGGGGGCAAGCGUUGUCCGGAAUUACUGGGCGUAAAGGGCGUGUAGGUGGCUCGUGAAGUCAGGAGUGAAAACCCGGGGCUCAACUCCGGGACUGCUUUUGAAACCAGCGGGCUUGAGUGCAGGAGAGGGAAGUGGAAUUCCCAGUGUAGCGGUGAAAUGCGUAGAUAUUGGGAGGAACACCAGUGGCGAAAGCGGCUUCCUGGCCUGUAACUGACACUGAGGCGCGAAAGCGUGGGGAGCAAACAGG
rnacentral:rRNA from 1 species